UGUAUGAUUAGCAGUACAUGGGUGGUCCAUUGGUAUAGGCCUGGGUUCAGCCUAUACCAGAAUCUAAUUCAUGGUCUGGCAUCCUUUAAGUGUGCUGCAGUAAUAAAAGCAGAGGGAAAGGCUGGGAAUUUUUUUAUCUCAUCUGUUUAAGGUAGCUGAGAAAGAAAACACCAUGUUAGUUACUGGUAUAGACACCAACAGCUUGCCUGUGAUCAAUAAACUGGCUUGAGUAGUUGUGUUGUUUUUAUUAAUUGAAGAUGCACUAACGGUUGUCCAUUUGGUCUGUGAGGGGUGGAUCCCAGAGAUUCUCUAACAAAAGAAUCUUUAAAAACAGGAGACAUACAUCUUUGUGUCACUCCAGAGUCUUGGAAAACAAUCUUGGGUUAACUGCGUGAACAUUCUUUUGUUAUUUUUCUUAUUAAGGAAGAACAGACAGCGGUUCCUGUUAUUAGGGGAAACAAGCAUUUAAACAAAAUUCAGACGAAAUACAAGAAAAUUUUAAGUUUUUGGUGACCUAAGCCACGUUAUCUCAAACUGCAGAAGCCAACCGCCAAUCCUUUAGAUUUAGGUUUGCGACUCUGUGCUCCAGCAGAGCUGACGGGCAACAGCCACGUGUCUGCCCAGAGGAUUUUAUGUGGCCACUUGAGUCCAGCUGUGCCAAUGAUCUGGCGGGUCCUUCCCCCUUCUAGCCUCAAGGAGAAGCCCACCUUGGCACUGUCAGCUGUUUACUUUGACUGUCAUCAUCUUUGACACCCCUGCUGUAGGUUCGGCCUUACCCUGUAGGGCAUAGACACAGCCUUCAAGAUGCUGCAACUAAGCACUCUACAGGCUUCAGACUUGAGACAGUCGGCUUCCCAUCUUCUGGUUCACAUGUCUAUUCCAUGUCUCAUCUAGCAUAGCUGUAACGAUGCUCUCAAUAACCCAUCACAAAUCAAUACUCUAAAGCAACACUGAGAUGAACACACCUGCAAGAAGGACAGCAGAGCCCAAGCAAACUAGGCUGGGUAUGGCUGGGUUGCAGCCACAUCUGAAGAGACAACAUAACUAUAUACUCCAAGCUCCUUCCCUCAAGUCUCCCCGCCAUGAUGGACUCCACAUUCAAACG
rnacentral:sRNA from 1 species